CCUACGUGAGGCAGCAGUGAGGAAUAUUGGUCAAUGGGCUUACGCCUGAACCAGCCAAGUCGCGUGAGGGAAGACUGCCCUAUGGGUUGUAAACCUCUUUUGUCAGGGAGCAACGCCGGCUACGUGUAGCCGGACUGAGAGUACCUGAAGAAAAAGCAUCGGCUAACUCCGUGCCAGCAGCCGCGGUAAUACGGAGGAUGCGAGCGUUAUCCGGAUUUAUUGGGUUUAAAGGGUGCGUAGGCGGAAUGCCAAGUCAGCGGUAAAAUCGCGGGGCUCAACCUCGCUCCGCCGUUGAAACUGGCGUUCUUGAGUGGGCGAGAAGUAUGCGGAAUGCGUGGUGUAGCGGUGAAAUGCAGAGAUAUCACGCAGAACUCCGAUUGCGAAGGCAGCAUACCGGCGCCCAACUGACGCUGAAGCACGAAAGCGUGGGUAUCGAACAGGAUUAGAUACCCGAGUAGUC
rnacentral:rRNA from 1 species